GUUAUUGUCUUUUAUAUUAUUUCAUAACAGUAACAAAGUAAUCUGCCUUAUUUUUCGGUGACACUAAUCUUACUUUUUAUGCACAAUUCUCGUUAUCUUUUAGGUGACAUUUGCUUUUUAUUUUUAUUAAGCCAUCACCAAGGCUUGUUAGGUUCUAACUUAGGUUUCUUUUGUGACGAUGUGGACUAGUUAAACGAAAGAAGAGUUUAGUAAAUGACAGUAUUUCAAUAUCACCUAGCUGAAAUAUACAUAUGAAAGAAACCAAAACAUGAUAUAGCUAUGUGACAUAACAAGAAUUACCUGAUUUGGUUUCUAAUUUCCUUUAUAGUAAUGGAAGCUGUU
rnacentral:lncRNA from 1 species